rnacentral:rRNA from 1 species
UACGUAGGAGGCAAGCGUUGUCCGGAAUUACUGGGCGUAAAGCGCGUGUAGGUGGUGGGACAAGUCUGCUGUGAAAGCGCCUGGCUUAACCGGGCGAGGUCGGCGGAAACUGUCCGACUCGAGGACGGUAGAGGGGGGUGGAAUUCCCGGUGUAGUGGUGAAAUGCGUAGGGAUCGGGAGGAACACCGGUGGCGAAGGCGGGUCUCUGGGCAGUAACUGACGCUGAGGAGCGAAAGCGUGGGGAGCGAACAGG